UACGUAGGGGGCGAGCGUUAUCCGGAUUCACUGGGUGUAAAGGGAGCGUAGACGGCCAUGCAAGCCAGGGGUGAAAGCCCGGGGCCCAACCCCGGGACUGCCCUUGGAACUGUGCGGCUAGAGUGCGGGAGGGGCAGGCGGAAUUCCUGGUGUAGCGGUGAAAUGCGUAGAUAUCAGGAGGAGCACCGGCGGCGAAGGCGGCCUGCUGGACCGCGACUGACGUUGAGGCUCGAAAGCGUGGGGAGCGAACAGG
rnacentral:rRNA from 1 species